rnacentral:rRNA from 1 species
CCCAGGAGCUUGCUCCUGGGUGAGAGUGGCGAACGGGUGAGUAAUGCGUGACCGACCUGCCCCAUACACCGGAAUAGCUCCUGGAAACGGGUGGUAAUGCCGGAUGCUCCAGUUGGAUGCAUGUCCUUCUGGGAAAGAUUCAUCGGUAUGGGAUGGGGUCGCGUCCUAUCAGCUUGAUGGCGGGGUAACGGCCCACCAUGGCUUCGACGGGUAGCCGGCCUGAGAGGGCGACCGGCCACAUUGGGACUGAGAUACGGCCCAGACUCCUACGGGAGGCAGCAGUGGGGAAUAUUGCACAAUGGGCGCAAGCCUGAUGCAGCGACGCCGCGUGCGGGAUGACGGCCUUCGGGUUGUAAACCGCUUUUGACUGGGAGCAAGCCCUUCGGGGUGAGUGUACCUUUCGAAUAAGCACCGGCUAACUACGUGCCAGCAGCCGCGGUAAUACGUAGGGUGCAAGCGUUAUCCGGAAUUAUUGGGCGUAAAGGGCUCGUAGGCGGUUCGUCGCGUCCGGUGUGAAAGUCCAUCGCUUAACGGUGGAUCCGCGCCGGGUACGGGCGGGCUUGAGUGCGGUAGGGGAGACUGGAAUUCCCGGUGUAACGGUGGAAUGUGUAGAUAUCGGGAAGAACACCAAUGGCGAAGGCAGGUCUCUGGGCCGUCACUGACGCUGAGGAGCGAAAGCGUGGGGAGCGAACAGGAUUAGAUACCCUGGUAGUCCACGCCGUAAACGGUGGAUGCUGGAUGUGGGGACCAUUCCACGGUCUCCGUGUCGGAGCCAACGCGUUAAGCAUCCCGCCUGGGGGAGUA